AUUGAACGCUGGCGGCAUGCCUUACACAUGCAAGUCGAACGGCAGCACGGGAGCAAUCCUGGUGGCGAGUGGCGAACGGGUGAGUAAUAUAUCGGAACGUGCCCAGUCGUGGGGAUAACGCAGCGAAAGCUGUGCUAAUACCGCAUACGAUCUACGGAUGAAAGCGGGGGAUCGCAAGACCUCGCGCGAUUGGAGCGGCCGAUAUCAGAUUAGCUAGUUGGUGAGGUAAAGGCCCACCAAGGCGACGAUCUGUAGGCUGGUCUGAGAGGACGACCAGCCACACUGGAACUGAGACACGGUCCAGACUCCUACGGGAGGCAGCAGUGGGGAAUUUUGGACAAUGGGCGCAAGCCUGAUCCAGCAAUGCCGCGUGCAGGA
rnacentral:rRNA from 1 species